rnacentral:lncRNA from 1 species
GUAUAUACAGUAGAAAAUGAUAUAAAUUUGCAAACUAAAUGAUAAAAAAUAGUCAAGAAUGUUAAGUGCAUUAUAUAUGUAGAUAUUAGGAAUACAACUGCAAGAAAUCACUUAUGUAUGAUUAUAGGGUAGCAGUUCAAAAGGAAAACCAUUAAGGAUGACUUAAACUUGAUUAAAAUAUUCUGAAUUAUGGUUACAGAAGAGAUGAUAUCUAUAACUUUUAAAUAAUGUGAAUCUUUGUAUAAACCAUAAAACACAUGUCGAAAAGGUUAAUAAGCUCUUCAGUAUGUUAAUUUUGAAGCUUUUCAUUUUUCUAAUCACUUCUUAAUAUGAUCUAGUUGCAGAUGUUGGCAUUGGUGUUUGACUGAAAGCCCACUUAGUACCUUCAUAGCCUUACCUUCAGUUCCCAUGCUCUUUCUAUGUCAAGAAGACAAAAUGGCAAAUAUAGGCUACUGUCGUGUGCCAAGGCGCAAAGGUCAAAGUAGCAUUUGGUAUAAACACUGCCAGGAACAUCGACAUCAUUAUUAAUGAAGUGGGAGAAUUGGUUUCCCAACUCAAGCCUGGGGAAGGAGAAACACAACAAAACCAGCACAGGACAAUGUUAGUCAACUGGGCUGUCUUCAAAAACAUUAUUCUCAUGUAAGAAAUGUGGUAAAGCCAUCAUAUGCUCUAGUUUAUUAGAACACAUAAAAGAACUCACACUGUACAGAACCCUAUCGAUGAAAGAAACACAAGAAAGCAUUCAACUUUCCCAGUUCUCUUUGAAAACUUAGAAAAACUUGUAUUGGAAAAAAACAUGAAUGUAAAAAACGUGUUAAUGAACUUGAUUUUUCCACAUCUUUGUUCCAGUUCCACAUGAAGACAAGAACUCGUUUCUGAAAUAAAACCUAUGAAUGUAUAGAAUGCAGAAAUGCCUUCAUUUACGUGAUAUUUGCUCCAAGACCUAUGAUAACACACAUUGUAGACU